rnacentral:rRNA from 1 species
AAGCCUUCGGGCUUAGUGGCGCACGGGUGCGUAACGCGUGGGAAUCUGCCCUUGGGUUCGGAAUAACUCGGAGAAAUCCGUGCUAAUACCGGAUGAUGUCGUAAGACCAAAGAUUUAUCGCCCAAGGAUGAGCCCGCGUAGGAUUAGCUAGUUGGUGAGGUAAAGGCUCACCAAGGCGACGAUCCUUAGCUGGUCUGAGAGGAUGAUCAGCCACACUGGGACUGAGACACGGCCCAGACUCCUACGGGAGGCAGCAGUGGGGAAUAUUGGACAAUGGGCGAAAGCCUGAUCCAGCAAUGCCGCGUGAGUGAUGAAGGCCUUAGGGUUGUAAAGCUCUUUUACCCGGGAUGAUAAUGACAGUACCGGGAGAAUAAGCUCCGGCUAACUCCGUGCCAGCAGCCGCGGUAAUACGGAGGGAGCUAGCGUUAUUCGGAAUUACUGGGCGUAAAGCGCACGUAGGCGGCUUUGUAAGUUAGAGGUGAAAGCCUGGAGCUCAACUCCAGAACUGCCUUUAAGACUGCAUCGCUUGAAUCCAGGAGAGGUGAGUGGAAUUCCGAGUGUAGAGGUGAAAUUCGUAGAUAUUCGGAAGAACACCAGUGGCGAAGGCGGCUCACUGGACUGGUAUUGACGCUGAGGUGCGAAAGCGUGGGAGCAAACAGGAUUAGAUA